rnacentral:rRNA from 1 species
UACGUAGGGUGCAAGCGUUGUCCGGAAUUAUUGGGCGUAAAGAGCUCGUAGGCGGUCUGUCGCGUCGGAUGUGAAAAUCAGGGCUCAACCCUGGACCUGCAUUCGAUACGGGCAGACUAGAGUUCGGCAGGGGAGACUGGAAGUUCCUGGUGUAGCGGUGAAAUGCGCAGAUAUCAGGAGGAACACCGGUGGCGAAGGCGGGUCUCUGGGCCGAUACUGACGCUGAGGAGCGAAAGGCGUGGGGAGCAAACAGG